GGGGAAUAUUGCACAAUGGGGGAAACCCUGAUGCAGCGACGCCGCGUGGAGGAAGAAGGUCUUCGGAUUGUAAACUCCUGUUGUUGAGGAAGAUAAUGACGGUACUCAACAAGGAAGUGACGGCUAACUACGUGCCAGCAGCCGCGGUAAAACGUAGGUCACAAGCGUUGUCCGGAAUUACUGGGUGUAAAGGGAGCGCAGGCGGGAAGACAAGUUGGAAGUGAAAUCCAUGGGCUCAACCCAUGAACUGCUUUCAAAACUGUUUUUCUUGAGUAGUGCAGAGGUAGGCGGAAUUCCCGGUGUAGCGGUGGAAUGCGUAGAUAUCGGGAGGAACACCAGUGGCGAAGGCGGCCUACUGGGCACCAACUGACGCUGAGGCUCGAAAGUGUGGGUAGCAAACAGGAUUAGAUACCCUGGUAGUCCACACCGUAAACGAUGAUUACUAGGUGUUGGAGGAUUGACCCCUUCAGUGCCGCAGUUAACACAAUAAGUAAUCCACCUGGGGAGUACGACCGCAAGGUUGAAACUCAAAGGAAUUGACGGGGGCCCGCACAAGCAGUGGAGUAUGUGGUUUAAUUCGACGCAACGCGAAGAACCUUACCAAGUCUUGACAUCCUGCGACGGUUCUGGAAACAGAACUUUCCUUCGGGACGCAGAGACAGGUGGUGCAUGGUUGUCGUCAGCUCGUGUCGUGAGAUGUUGGGUUAAGUCCCGCAACGAGCGCAACCCUUAUGGUCAGUUACUACGCAAGAGGACUCUGGCCAGACUGCCGUUGACAAAACGGAGGAAGGUGGGGAUGACGUCAAAUCAUCAUGCCCUUUAUGACUUGGGCUACACACGUACUACAAUGGCGUUAAACAAAGAGAAGCAAGACCGCGAGGUGGAGCAAAACUCAGAAACAACGUCCCAGUUCGGACUGCAGGCUGCAACUCGCCUGCACGAAGUCGGAAUUGCUAGUAAUCGCGCAUCAGCCAUGGCGCGGUGAAUACGUUCCCG
rnacentral:rRNA from 1 species